UACGUAGGGUGCAAGCGUUGUCCGGAAUUAUUGGGCGUAAAGAGCUCGUGGGCGGUCUGUUGCGUCGGCUGUGAAAACCCGGGGCUCAACCCCGGGCCUGCAGCCGAUACGGGCAGACUAGAGUUCGGCAGGGGAGACUGGAAUUCCUGGUGUAGCGGUGAAAUGCGCAGAUAUCAGGAGGAACACCGAUGGCGAAGGCAGGUCUCUGGGCCACUACUGACGCUGAGAAGCGAAAGCAUGGGGAGCGAACAGG
rnacentral:rRNA from 1 species